rnacentral:rRNA from 1 species
AGGUAAGUACUUGUACUUAUGCUGACGAGUGGCGGACGGGUGAGUAAUGCUUGGGAAUCUGGCUUAUGGAGGGGGAUAACUACGGGAAACUGUAGCUAAUACCGCGUAAUAUCUUCGGAUUAAAGGGUGGGACCUUUUGGCCACCUGCCAUGAGAUGAGCCCAAGUGGGAUUAGGUAGUUGGUUAGGUAAAGGCUGACCAAGCCGACGAUCUCUAGCUGGUCUGAGAGGAUGACCAGCCACACUGGAACUGAGACACGGUCCAGACUCCUACGGGAGGCAGCAGUGGGGAAUAUUGCACAAUGGGGGGAACCCUGAUGCAGCCAUGCCGCGUGAAUGAAGAAGGCCUUCGGGUUGUAAAGUUCUUUCGGUAGCGAGGAAGGCACCUAGUUUAAUAGAUUAGGUGAUUGACGUUAACCACAGAAGAAGCACCGGCUAACUCCGCGCCAGCAGCCGCGGUAAUACGGAGGGUGCGAGCGUUAAUCGGAAUAACUGGGCGUAAAGGGCACGCAGGCGGUGACUUAAGUGAGAUGUGAAAGCCCCGAGCUUAACUUGGGAAUUGCAUUUCAUACUGGGUCGCUAGAGUACUUUAGGGAGGGGUAGAAUUCCACGUGUAGCGGUGAAAUGCGUAGAGAUGUGGAGGAAUACCGAAGGCGAAGGCAGCCCCUUGGGAAUGUACUGACGCUCAUGUGCGAAAGCGUGGGGAGCAAACAGGAUUAGAUACCCUGGUAGUCCACGCUGUAAACGGUGUCGAUUUGGGGAUUGGGCUUUAAGCUUGGUGCCCGUAGCU